ensembl:lncRNA
GUGAGUUUUCUACACAGAGAAACAGAAUUUGACCUUAGGAUGCGGGUUAGGCUUGUAUUUUUCACUUUGCAGCUAGAGUUAAGCCCUCUACCUUCUUUUCCAUUUCUUGGGCAACUUUUAAACUUUUAAAGAAUGUAGAUUCAACAAGUUACCGACCAGAUAGGAAAACUAUUUUUUAAAAAAAGUCUCUUUGAGUUACUAAUUCCUUGACAAUAGCACUCCAAUGGGACCCUCCUGCGCAUACAUCUCGCGUCUAUUUAAUGAUUGCUAGUUGACUCUGUGGGUUCACCAGCAAGGCCCAUUGUCUAAAGCUUGCUUCCUUCCCUUUCUCAAUCCUUUUCGUUUUCCUCCUCUCGUCAGUGCUCCCCCAUACUCCUCCUCCUGCCCCUGCCCUCUUCCCUCUCCAUCAGUGGUGUGGACUGGCGGGCUCCCCGGAUUCUCCUCAUUUCCAUUAGCAAACUUUGUUUUCUAGAAGGCUCCUUCUGCUUCACAUCAGCCUGUCGUUAUGACAUUCAGUGGAAUCACAGGAAUGGAAGAAUCCCAGAGAAGGACAGGCUGUGCCUGGGUCUAGGUGCUGAACUCCCAUCUGGCCAACUUCCAUCUGUUCUGAGCUGCCAGCUGCAGUUUCUAGGCCAGGUUCUCUGGACUCUCAGAGUUCCAUGAGGGCUAUAGCAGGACCCUGUGCAGCAGUCCCAGUACUCUAAAAUGCCGAUUUUAUAUGGCGAUUUUAUAUAUUACCCAGAUCAAAGGCCAACUAGCAUUGAGCUUCCAGUAAGAAGACCUGGACAAUUUACCUAAACAUCUCUGGACCUCAGUUUGUUCAUCUGUAAAUAAGGCUGAAACUUUCUAUCUGUGAUGAUCUCAAUUAAUAUGGGUUAUCCAUUAAUUCAGUGCCUACAACAAAACCACAGCCUAGUUUUUUUUAUGAAGGUAGUUUAUAGAUAAAAAUCUAUGCUUAAGCCUCCUCUCUCUCUCUCUCUCUCUCUCUCUCUCUCUCUGUCCUCUCUCUCUCUCUCUCUCUCUCUCUCUCUCUCUCUCUCUCUCUCUGUGUGUGUGUGUGUGUGUGUGUGUGUGUGU